rnacentral:rRNA from 1 species
GAUGAACGCUGGCGGCGUGCCUAAUACAUGCAAGUCGAGCGAACAGACGAGGAGCUUGCUCCUCUGACGUUAGCGGCGGACGGGUGAGUAACACGUGGAUAACCUACCUAUAAGACUGGGAUAACUUCGGGAAACCGGAGCUAAUACCGGAUAAUAUAUUGAACCGCAUGGUUCAAUAGUGAAAGACGGUUUUGCUGUCACUUAUAGAUGGAUCCGCGCCGCAUUAGCUAGUUGGUAAGGUAACGGCUUACCAAGGCGACGAUGCGUAGCCGACCUGAGAGGGUGAUCGGCCACACUGGAACUGAGACACGGUCCAGACUCCUACGGGAGGCAGCAGUAGGGAAUCUACCGCAAUGGGCGAAAGCCUGACGGAGCAACGCCGCGUGAGUGAUGAAGGUCUUCGGAUCGUAAAACUCUGUUAUUAGGGAAGAACAAAUGUGUAAGUAACUAUGCACGUCUUGACGGUACCUAAUCAGAAAGCCACGGCUAACUACGUG